rnacentral:precursor_RNA from 10 species
CGAAUGAGAUAUUUUGAGUGAGCUGUGGUGAGAUAUGUUUGAUAUAUUUGGUGAGUGAAAUCAAGUCCCACCAAAUAUCAGACAUGUCAACACUACGGCCUGCACCGGUCAGCAGAGGAGAG